ensembl:lncRNA
GAGGUGCUUCUGUCAUCUGUUGCUGUUUCUUCGGUGGAGUUCGGACGUCUGACAGAUUGAACCGUGUCUAGGAGGAGACUGCUGACGUACUGUGUUGCAGAAAUUCAACGCUGAAGACGCAGGUGUGCGAAGUACAGACUGUUGAACUGGUGAUUUGUGUCUAAGGUGGAUCGAGUGAGCAGCGUGCUGGAUCAUCGAGGAGUGUCGCCGCCUAACUUGUUCUGACUGAACUGUAAAUGAAGGACAAAGUUGAGCUUCGGGGGAUGUUGGACAGUGGCUCCAUGGCGACCACUCUGAGUGCGGAAGUUCUUCCUCAACUUGGAGACGCUGGGGUGCUGGACCGGGAUAUCCUGAGCUCUUCAGAUAUUGUCUUGGCAUAAUUAAGAGCUGUUGCAGAUAACAGUGCCUGUCUGUUUGCUUGUUUUACUACACAGGCACUACAAGUAAAUCCUCAUCAGUUAAAAACCAGCUUUGUGUGGACAAUCCUUUUAUUUAACAUCCCUAAAACACAACGCAG